UACGUAGGGCGCAAGCGUUGUCCGGAAUUAUUGGGCGUAAAGAGCUCGUAGGCGGCUUGUCACGUCGGGUGUGAAAGACCGGGGCUUAACCCCGGUUCUGCAUUCGAUACGGGCUGGCUAGAGUGUGGUAGGGGAGAUCGGAAUUCCUGGUGUAGCGGUGAAAUGCGCAGAUAUCAGGAGGAACACCGGUGGCGAAGGCGGGUCUCUGGGCCGGAUACUGACGCUGAGGAGCGAAAGCAUGGGUAGCGAACAGG
rnacentral:rRNA from 1 species